UUCCGAUUAUUUCUCACACUCAGCCUCCAUCUUUGUAGACUCUUCCAUGCCCUUUAUUUGAGUACAGGCCAAUCUCUUUCACUAGGCUAUAAGCUCCCCUGAGGGUAGGGACUCUGUUUUACCUGUCUUGGUAUUCUCAGCAUCUUAUAAAGUGCCUGGAACAUUGGAAAAGCCCCCACACCUCUUUAGAAAAUUGUACUGAAUUUAAAUGUGGAAGGAAUAAGCAGAGUAAGGAAGAAAAAACAUCCAGAAGAGGAGCUGAAGAUUCACGGGUUGACAAAGGGAUCUUUCAUUCUGGUGGGAGAGACAGAUAAGAAAGCAAGAGAGGAAACACAGAAAGGAAUAAAUCAGCAUAUAAGAGCUACACAGAGAAUUAAAAUAAGAUCACCUCCAGAAAAAAAACAGCUGCCAUGUCCUAAGCCUUACAAAGAGGUUGUAUGGUUGAGGAACUAAGGAAUGGAACCACCAGCCAUGAGAGGCUGGAACCACCAGCCUCCUUCUUGGAGGCAGAUCUUCCAGCCCCAGUGAAACCUUCAUGUGAUGUAACCCUGACUGACAGAAGGAGAGAUCUGUUUUAGAAAUGAUCCCGUCCCAGGCCUACUUGAUCUUGUCCGUUUGGCUCGGCUGGUGGAGGAAUAACAAGGGUCUUCCCAUCAUGCAUCAUUCUGGGAUACAUCAUGACAGAGAAAUCUCAAAGCCCAGGUCAAUUAUAACAGAAGAUGUGCACCACCUCUGCCCCUGAACGUCUUCUGGGGCUGCAGUUGUUUAAAACUAAGUCACCUGAAAAAUGCAAGGAAAUGUGUGUCUGGUUCCUGGCUGGCUUUCUGCUUGUUUAGCAGGAUACAAAUAGCAGAAGACUAAUACGCCAUGUGUGUGGUUUGUGGUCAGGAAAAGGGAAUAAAGUUGGCAGCUACCUCA